rnacentral:rRNA from 1 species
UUGGAGGGCAAGUCUGGUGCCAGCAGCCGCGGUAAUUCCAGCUCCAAUAGCGUAUAUUAAAGUUGUUGCAGUUAAAAAGCUCGUAGUUGAAUUUCGGAAUCUGUCCAUCGGUCGGGCUUCACUGUCCGUACUGGUGUGGUGGGUUCUUACCUUCUGAAUAACCAGCAUGCCAUUCACUUGGUGCGCUGGGGAAGCAGGACUAUUACCUUGAAAAAAUUAGAGUGCUCAAAGCAGGCUAGUGCCUGAAUACAUUAGCAUGGAAUAAUAAAAUAGGACGGCAUGGUUCUAUUUUGUUGGUUUCUAGGAUCACCGUAAUGAUUAAUAGGGAUAGUUGGGGGCAUUAGUAUUCAAUUGUCAGAGGUGAAAUUCUUGGAUUUAUUGAAGACUAACUUCUGCGAAAGCAUUUGCCAAGGAUGUUUUCAUUAAUCAAGAACGAAAGUUAGGGGAUCGAAGACGAUCAGAUACCGUCGUAGUCUUAACCAUAAACUAUGCCGACUAGGGAUCGGACGAUGUUAAUUUUUUAAUGACUCGUUCGGCGCCUUACGGGAAAC